UCGCCUGCAUNAAGUCGGAAUUGCUAGUAAUCGCAGAUCAGCAUGCUGCGGUGAAUACGUUCCCGGGCCUUGUACACACCGCCCGUCACACCAUGGGAGUCGGUAACACCCGAAGUCGGUAGCCUAACCGUAAGGAGGGCGCCGCCGAAGGUGGGAUUGAUGACUGGGGUGAAGUCGUAACAAGGUAAC
rnacentral:rRNA from 1 species